CAGGUAGGUGGUUCGGUAAGUCUGUUGUGUAAGCUCCCGGCUUAACUGGGAGAGGUCAACGGAAACUACCAGACUUGAGUAUAGGAGAGGUUACUGGAAUUCCCGGUGUAGCGGUGAAAUGCGCAGAGAUCGGGAGGAACACCAAUGGCGAAAGCAGGUAACUGGACUAUUACUGACACUCAGCUGCGAAAGCUAGGGGAGCAAACA
rnacentral:rRNA from 1 species